rnacentral:rRNA from 1 species
GAGUAACACGUGGAUAACCUACCUAUAAGACUGGGAUAACUUCGGGAAACCGGAGCUAAUACCGGAUAAUAUUUUGUAACCGCAUGAUUCAAAAGUGAAAGACGGUCUUGCUGUCACUUAUAGAUGGAUCCGCGCUGCAUUAGCUAGUUGGUAAGGUAACGGCUUACCAAGGCAACGAUGCAUAGCCGACCUGAGAGGGUGAUCGGCCACACUGGAACUGAGACACGGUCCAG